UAUUGUAAUGAACCAAGUGCUUUUCAUGUUUCUUUAAUCAUAUCAUAUAUAUAACUCUCUAUGCAUAAUGUACUUUUACUGUAACCAUGCUGUGUUUGUUGUUGAAUCAUAUAGAUUUAGUAUAUUUACAAAUGUAUGUUUCUUAUACAGUCACCAACUGUUUAAAAGCUAUUAUUUUUUGCCAACAAAAUCUUCAGUCAAAUUUUUCUGUCAUGAAUGAGUCAAGAUUUACUGGUACCAACUUAUAUCUUUUUUUAAUCACAAUUUCCGCCAUAAAUAUCGUAUUUUCUGAGAUUUUGUUGACUUAAUAAUUUGAUGGUUACCUAUUUUUCAUGAAGAAAGGAAGAAAUUGUAUUUUGAUGAAUACUGUAAACCAACUUAUUUUCGCAAGCAAUUUUUUUCCGCGACUUUCGCAAGUAGAAAAUAACGCGAAUAUAAAUAGUCGCAAAUAUGUUAAACUUUGAUCUUCCCUUAUUACACUAUAUCCAGUAAUUAGAAAAUCUCAAAAUAGACUAGAAAGGGUAAAACGUGAAAUAAAGUAUCCGCAAAAAUAAGUUGGUUUACAGUACUUGAUUUCAUAGUUUUAACAAAUACUGCAUACCAGUACUAUUGAAACUGAUUUUUUUUAAAACAUUAAAUCUUUGUCCAUGAAAUCCACAAAAAUAAAGACCCCAAUAAUAAUAAACUACAAAAAUGUUUACCAAUAAUUUUGCAUAAUAAAGGAAAUUACAAUACAUGGUGUUGUAUGUAAAUUUUGUUUCUUCUUUGCAUGACACAAGACAGACAUACUAAGGGAGCUUCCAUUUCUUCCUGUUUCUAAGCGUUGAAGAAAAAAAAAAAUUGGUAAUUCUACAUAUAUAUUCACGACUCCUGAUAAUGUCUUCUAGAUACUUUGUAAGUUGUUUUGAGUCUUUGUUUGUAUGACUAUUUUAUUUUUAACCUAUUAUGAAAUGUUAAAUUAAAAUUGAUGUGAAAAACUGUUGUUUAAAUUCUUUUUCGAAAUGUU
rnacentral:lncRNA from 1 species